GGAGAGCUCAAUUUGAAAGCUGGCGUCUUCGGCGUCCGCGUUGUAAUCUCGAGACGUGUUUUCCGUGCGGCUCUAUGGACAAGUCCCUUGGAACAGGGCAUCGUAGAGGGUGAAAAUCCCGUACUUGCCAUGGAAGUACCGUGCUUUGUGAUACACGCUCCAAGAGUCGAGUAGUUUGGGAUUGCUGCUCAAAGUGGGUGGUAGACUCCAUCUAAAGCUAAAUAUCGGGGAGAGACCGAUAGCGAACAAGUACCGUGAGGGAAAGAUGAAAAGCACUUUGGAAAGAGAGUUAAAAGUACGUGAAAUUGUCGAAAGGGAAGCACUUGAAGUCAGCCAUGCUGCUUGAGACUCAGCCUGGCUUUUGCUUGGUGUAUUUCUCGGUAGCAAGCCAGCAUUGGUUUGUGUCGUCGGAGAAGCGUAUGGGGAAUGUGGCAUCCUCGGAUGUGUUAUAGCCCUGUGCAGGAUACGACGACGUAGACCAAGGAACGCAGUGUGCCCUCUGGGCGGGU
rnacentral:rRNA from 1 species